UAGUUUACCGAGUCGUGCAGGAUGAAGAACCGUAGAGGUUCAAGCAUCGCGCAGCGAUACGACAACGCGCAGCGUUGCCCGCAGGGUGAGGCCACAGGCCGAAUCAAUCCUGCACGACCCACCA
rnacentral:sRNA from 1 species